rnacentral:lncRNA from 1 species
GACUGAAAGAUCAUUUGCUGUCUACAUGUGUUUUUAAUCUCCAGAGAUUCCAUCACUCCCAACCGGCUGAAACAAGUUGAGAAAACCAUGCACACUAGUGAGAGUGGAUGUCCCAAGCACAAAGAGAACAUGGAAAGUAUGUUGAAUCCAGAUGAUCCAACCCUCUGUUCUCCAGUCCUGCUGGCACACCUAGAGGCCAAUUCAGGGUUUGCACUUUCUUAAUGGUAAAAGC